CCACCUGCAUCACUUUGUUUCUCAUAUUUUACUCCGAUAAUCAGUCUCCAGUACACGCUUCACUUACAUGAUGAUUACUGAAUCGCCAGAUUCCUUACCCCCGGGGUUCCCUUGCUAUUGAUCAACUUUGCCUUUGCAAUUCAGAGUUCUGUCAACCUGCUUCAAGAUCUUGCUAGGAAAUUGGAGAGAAUGACAUCUGAUAUGUAGGAAUAUUGUAAACAAAUUGUUAAUAAUGCCAACCAACCAUCCAUAUACAUAUUGCUCCGCCGGGUACCUAGCCUUUCUUUUCAUUCUACAAUUCCUUGCCACACUUGAGUUGUUUUAUAUCUAGCUCCCAGUGCCAAUCCCAGAUAAGUUUCGGAAAUGAUGUCAGUUUUUCACACUAGAAGCACAUCCACUUCUUCAAAGUUUUGCAGAUUAGUUACUGGUACUUUCCGCAUGUCUAAUAUGCAACCUACUGCCCUUCAAAUGAUGGGAGGAGUCACUUCUGUAUUAGUGUCUUCCUAUUUAGUGGACCAAUCAAUAGUCUCAUUCAUCAUCCUCCCACAAGUCUAAUGUUUUUCAGAACUAGCCACAUGUAGAUCAGCAAAAACUGCAGGCAAAAAUGAAUCCAAUCCAGACUUCUUUACCAUAUGAUUCCGCAAUCUUAUUCUCCCUCCUUGGGUGUGUAAAAAAAUCCCGGUAAGCCAUUUAAAACAAUACAAACUACAGAACGAGACACAGCAGAGAUAGUGCCACUCCCACUUUUGUCAUCAAAAGAACCAUCCGUCCAAACCAUGGCACGGAUAAGUAAGGACCAUGCCCUAGACCAUCCAAUAUGUGAAAGGGAACAUAGUUACAAACAUGACUGCUCUGACUUGUGAAGCCAAUGUUAUUAAGACUAAACCUGUAGGGAGAACUCAUACUUCUCCACUGCUCAACGUUACCAUGAACCUGAAAAAACAUAAAUAUGAGCAAGAUAAAAACACAAAGAAGUGAUCCUCCAUUUUGUCUGCACUAUGCUGUUAGGUAAGUUAGAUCAUGAUGAACAAUGCCAGAGAAACUGGUGGACACAACUCAAAUGAAACAUCUCCAGGGUAGUCAUAAAUUUGGCAGAUACCUUCACAUAUUACCCUGUUGGUAAAAGGCAUUAGACACUUAUUCACAGAGUAGCAUUCAAAA
rnacentral:lncRNA from 1 species